UACAGAGGUCCCAAGCGUUGUUCGGAUUCACUGGGCGUAAAGGGUGCGUAGGUGGUCGGGUAAGUCUGAUGUGAAAUCUCCGAGCUCAACUCGGAAAUGGCAUUGGAUACUACUUGGCUAGAGGGUUGGAGGGGGGACUGGAAUACUUGGUGUAGCAGUGAAAUGCGUAGAUAUCAAGUGGAACACCAGUGGCGAAGGCGAGUCCCUGGACAGCUCCUGACACUGAGGCACGAAGGCCAGGGGAGCAAACGGG
rnacentral:rRNA from 1 species